rnacentral:rRNA from 1 species
GGUUAAGCGACUAAGCGUACACGGUGGAUGCCCUGGCAGUCAGAGGCGAUGAAGGGCGUGCUAAUCUGCGAUAAGCGCCGGUAAGGUGAUAUGAACCGUUAUAACCGGCGAUACCCGAAUGGGGAAACCCAGUGUGAUUCGUCACACUAUCAUUAACUGAAUCCAUAGGUUAAUGAGGCGAACCGGGGGAACUGAAACAUCUAAGUACCCCGAGGAAAAGAAAUCAACCGAGAUUCCCCCAGUAGCGGCGAGCGAACGGGGAGGAGCCCAGAGCCUGAAUCAGCAUGUGUGUUAGUGGAAGCGUCUGGAAAGGCGCGCGAUACAGGGUGACAGCCCCGUACACAAAAGCGCAUGUGCUGUGAGCUCGAUGAGUAGGGCGGGACACGUGGUAUCCUGUCUGAAUAUGGGGGGACCAUCCUCCAAGGCUAAAUACUCCUGACUGACCGAUAGUGAACCAGUACCGUGAGGGAAAGGCGAAAAGAACCCCGGCGAGGGGAGUGAAAAAGAACCUGAAACCGUGUACGUACAAGCAGUGGGAGCACAGGUUUACCUGUGUGACUGCGUACCUUUUGUAUAAUGGGUCAGCGACUUAUAUUCUGUAGCAAGGUUAACCGUAUAGGGGAGCCGGAGGGAAACCGAGUCUUAAUUGGGCGUUAAGUUGCAGGGUAUAGACCCGAA